rnacentral:rRNA from 1 species
AUCGAACGCUGGCGGCAGGCCUAACACAUGCAAGUCGAACGAGUAGCGGACUGGCGAGCAAUUUCUGGGAAACUGCCUGAUGUAGCGAUAUAACUACUGGAAACCUUAGCUAAUACUGCUAACCAUCCGAUGUGACGUGAUGGGAUGAGCUAGUUGGUGGGGUAACGGCUCACCAAGGCGACGAUCCCUAGCAGGCCCGAGAGGAUGACCAGCCACACUGGAACUGAGACACGGUCCAGACUCCUACGGGAGGCAGCAGUGGGGAAUAUUGCACAAUGGGCGCAAGCCUGAUGCAGCAAUGCCGCGUGUAUGAAGAAGGCUUUCGGGUUGUAAAGUACUGUCAGCGGAGAGGCGUUACCCGAAGAGGAAGCCACGGCUAACUACGUGCCAGCAGCCGCGGUAAUAC